UUCUCUCCUAUUAUCUGAGUGGCUGCAGGUACUGGUGUCUGCCUCUAUGCCUCUGUGCCAGAGGGAUAAAGAGGGAAAGAAAGAGGACUAGUGCUUCAUAUCCCCCCUUUGGCCUCCCCGUCUCCCUGCUCCCUGCCACUCCAUCCUUCCUUCCUCCCUCCUGGACCACCCGUCAGCGGCUUGAUCAACCUGCCCGGACCCUCCUCCCACAACCCCUUUGACUAUCCUCACUUCACCGUCCCGUCUUCUGAACUGUGUGCAGAAGCUUGGUUUGGA